rnacentral:rRNA from 1 species
GAUGAACGCUAGCGGCAGGCUUAAUACAUGCAAGUCGAGGGGUAGCAAGAUUGUAGCAAUACAAUUGUUGACGACCGGCAAACGGGUGCGGAACACGUACACAACCUUCCUACAAGUGGGGAAUAGCCCAGAGAAAUUUGGAUUAAUACCCCGUAACAUAGCGAUGUGGCAUCACAUUGCUAUUAUAGCUUCGGCGCUUGUUAAUGGGUGUGCAGCUGAUUAGAUAGUUGGCGGGAUAACGGCCCACCAAGUCUACGAUCAGUAGCUGAUGUGAGAGCAGGAUCAGCCACACGGGCACUGAGACACGGGCCCGACUCCUACGGGAGGCAGCAGUAAGGAAUAUUGGACAAUGGACGCAAGUCUGAUCCAGCCAUGCCGCGUGAAGGAUUAAGGUCCUCUGGAUUGUAAACUUCUUUUAUAAGGGACGAAAAAAGGUCUUUCUAGAUCGUCUGACGGUACCUUAUGAAUAAGCACCGACUAACUCCGUGCCAGCCGCCGCAGUAAAAC